rnacentral:rRNA from 1 species
AGAUUGAACGCUGGCGGCAUGCCUUACACAUGCAAGUCGAACGGCAGCACGGGUGCUUGCACCUGGUGGCGAGUGGCGAACGGGUGAGUAAUACAUCGGAACAUGUCCUGUAGUGGGGGAUAGCCCGGCGAAAGCCGGAUUAAUACCGCAUACGAUCUACGGAUGAAAGCGGGGGACCUUCGGGCCUCGCGCUAUAGGGUUGGCCGAUGGCUGAUUAGCUAGUUGGUGGGGUAAAGGCCUACCAAGGCGACGAUCAGUAGCUGGUCUGAGAGGACGACCAGCCACACUGGGACUGAGACACGGCCCAGACUCCUACGGGAGGCAGCAGUGGGGAAUUUUGGACAAUGGGCGAAAGCCUGAUCCAGCAAUGCCGCGUGUGUGAAGAAGGCCUUCGGGUUGUAAAGCACUUUUGUCCGGAAAGAAAUCCCUGGCUCUAAUACA